GAUGAACGCUGGCGGCGUGCCUAAUACAUGCAAGUCGAGCGAACAGACGAGGAGCUUGCUCCUCUGACGUUAGCGGCGGACGGGUGAGUAACACGUGGAUAACCUACCUAUAAGACUGGGAUAACUUCGGGAAACCGGAGCUAAUACCGGAUAAUAUAUUGAACCGCAUGGUUCAAUAGUGAAAGACGGUUUUGCUGUCACUUAUAGAUGGAUCCGCGCCGCAUUAGCUAGUUGGUAAGGUAACGGCUUACCAAGGCGACGAUGCGUAGCCGACCUGAGAGGGUGAUCCGCCACACCGGAAAUUAGACAAGGUCCAGAAUCCUACGGGAGGCAGCAGUAGGGAAUCUUCCGCAAUGGGCGAAAGCCUGACGGAGCCACGGCGCGUGAGUGAAGAAGGUCCUCGGAUUGGUAAACUCUGUUAUUAGGGAAGAAAAAAUUUGGAAGUAAACAUGCACGUCCUGACGGGAACCAAUCAAAAAGCCACGGCUAACUACGUG
rnacentral:rRNA from 1 species